UACGUAGGGAGCAAGCGUUGUCCGGAAUCAUUGGGCGUAAAGCGCGCGUAGGUGGCCCCAUAAGUCCGCUGUGAAAGUCAAAGGCUCAACCUUUGAAAGCCGGUGGAUACUGUGGGACUAGAGUACGGAAGAGGCGAGUGGAAUUCCUGGUGUAGCGGUGGAAUGCGCAGAUAUCAGGAGGAACACCAAUAGCGAAGGCAGCUCGCUGGGACGUACUGACACUGAGGCGCGAAAGCGUGGGGAGCGAACAGG
rnacentral:rRNA from 1 species